GGGGCUGAUUCUGGAUUCGACGGGAUUUGCGAAACCCAAGGUGCAUGCCGAGGGGCGGUUGGCCUCGUAAAAAGCCGCAAAAAAAUAGUCGCAAACGACGAAACCUACGCUUUAGCAGCUUAAUAACCUGCUUAGAGCCCUCUCUCCCUAGCCUCCGCUCUUAGGACGGGGAUCAAGAGAGGUCAAACCCAAAAGAGAUCGCGUGGAUGCCCUGCCUGGGGUUGAAGCGUUAAAACUAAUCAGGCUAGUCUGGUAGUGGCGUGUCCGUCCGCAGGUGCCAGGCGAAUGUAAAGACUGACUAAGCAUGUAGUACCGAGGAUGUAGGAAUUUCGGACGCGGGUUCAACUCCCGCCAGCUCCACCA
rnacentral:tmRNA from 63 species